rnacentral:lncRNA from 10 species
ACAGCUGGAGGCAGCAUUGGAACCCAGCAUACUGGAGGCGGUGUCGGCCCAGAGGUUUUUUCCUAGCCCAAGAGGUUUUUUCCAGCCGGCGUUGUUGGAAGGCCUGCCCUGCUUUAAGCAUAAACAGAGGAAGAGACUAAGGCAGCCGAGGGCACUGGGCCGGGGGCAUAGGGAAACGGGGCAAUGUGGUGGUCUGGGCUGGAUCCUGGAACCGAAAGAAGACAUUCACGGAAAAACUGGCACUUUCUGCUGAACCAUUUGAAAGCAAGCUGUAGGGCCCUCGACAUGGCAGCACCCAGGAGAAUAAGGGCAUCUCCACAGCUGAGACCAUGACUGCAGCCAGGAGUGCCUGGACGGACGCAUCUGACAUCCAGCCGUGUGCACAAGCC